UACGAAGGUAGCUAGCGUUGUUCGGAAUUACUGGGCGUAAAGCGCACGUAGGCGGGCUGUUAAGUCAGGGGUGAAAUCCCGGGGCUCAACCUCGGAAUUGCCUCUGAUACUGGCAGCCUUGAGUUCGGGAGAGGUUGGUGGAAUUCCUAGUGUAGAGGUGAAAUUCGUAGAUAUUAGGAAGAACACCAGUGGCGAAGGCGGCCAACUGGACCGACACUGACGCUGAGGUGCGAAAGCGUGGGGAGCAAACAGG
rnacentral:rRNA from 1 species